ensembl:lncRNA
GCCUUGUGCUGGGAGUGAGCCCGAUUGCAAUUGUUGUUUGUCUAAUAAAUAUACUUAUAUGCAGCUCCGGAGUCCUGAGGUAACUAGGGUGAAUUUUCACCUAUCAUAUUUGGGGGCUCGUGACCGGGAUUCCAACAACCUCAACGGCUCUCCACGCUGGGCUAAUCAUCAGGACCUGAAUCAUACGGAGGAGUAUGAGACUCUGUUUUUCUAAAGACCUCCAACUUGAAUUGGAAGGAGGCCAGGGCCUGCCAGCGAGGAGAGCCGAGAGUGAAGGAAUUGAAUUAGACUAUAGGGGUUGGACUCCGAGCUGUUUAUAUUUCCCUAACGAAUGUUCUAGUCCCCUGGGCGCAGUCACCUUCCUUAAGCCUGUAAAAGAGAGCUAGUGUCUCUCCCGAAGCCCUGAAGCGCGUCCGGUGGAAGAAGACGAGAAGGCCUCUGAAGGAAGGGUAUAGAAGGAAGGGUGGCCUCUGGGCGCAGAAACAUAGCUAGGGAAAAUAUUUAACAGGGAACCUGUGAGGCUGAAACCAAGGUUGGGUCGGGAGAUUGGGUCCUAAUCAACAGCCUCAAAAGAAAACACUGCCACUUGCCCAAGUGGGACAGACCAUACAAAGUGCUACUGUCAACAUCUACCACAGUCAAAAUAGCGGAGAGAGCCACCUGGAUACAUCUAACACCAGAGUUCAAGGCAGGAAUCGCGCACCACAAUGCUCACUGCAGUGGUGGAUGCUGCAUAGAGUGGAUGAUGGAGUCGAUGCAAGGCGCCAGUAUGGUGCCGAGUCACGAGAGAUAGAUAUGGAGGAAGAUGAUAGUGCGGACUACCAACAAGCUGCGGAUCACCAACAAGCUGAAGCACCGAACUUUCCGCCAGUUGAAAUGAAAGAAGAUGAAGAAAACCUGUGGCCACAUCUCAGCAAGCAGUUUGCCUUCCAACGUAAAAGAGGCAACAGCUAUAUGCUGUGUAAACUGUGCCUAAUCCGUCAGUCAGAACUUUCUGCUUAUACAAAUUCAUCUUCAAAUCUGCGCAAGCAUGUGUUGGUCUAGUCUAUGUCAGACAACACCUUGACCGGAUGUUGGAGGCUGGAGCAAGUUGGACAACAUUCAUCAGAUGAAGAUGAUUUAUUUUCCUCAAUGAAGUCCAGAAGGUCAGAAGGUACAGGGGAGUUAGAAGGGUACCUAGCCUGUGUCUCAGUCAAUAUGGAUCUGCUGAACGCCUUUCAGAAUAUCAAAAAACUGUCCCUGAAACUCAAUACUGGCCUACCUGC